AUUGAACGCUGGCGGCAUGCCUUACACAUGCAAGUCGAACGGUAACGGGCCUUCGGGUGCCGACGAGUGGCGAACGGGUGAGUAAUGUAUCGGAACGUACCUUUCAGUGGGGGAUAACGUAGCGAAAGUUACGCUAAUACCGCAUAUUCUGUGAGCAGGAAAGCAGGGGAUCGCAAGACCUUGCGCUGAUUGAGCGGCCGAUAUCAGAUUAGCUAGUUGGUGAGGUAAAGGCUCACCAAGGCGACGAUCAGUAGCGGGUCUGGGAGGAUGAUCCGCCACACUGGAACUGAGACACGGUCCAGACUCCUACGGGAGGCAGCAGUGGGGAAUUUUGGACAAUGGGGGCAACCCUGAUCCAGCCAUGCCGCGUGAGUGAAGAAGGCCUUCGGGUUGUAAAGCUCUUUCGGCCGGGAAGAAAUCGUAUCAGCUAAUACCUGGUGCGGAUGACGGUACCGGCAUAAGAAGCACCGGCUAACUACGUGCCAGCCGCCGCAGUAAAAC
rnacentral:rRNA from 1 species